UUUGCUGUAUCCAUCACAUUUCUUAGAGAGCCCUCCACGGAGGACGUAGAAGUUUAUACACAGACCCGUUGCUAGUAGCUGGGAGUAUUUACUUUGUACCAAAUUUGUUUUCUCUUGGUUUUGGCUCUUCGCUCUCCUCACUGUUUCCACAUCACAAAUCUCCCAGAUCAUAAUUGUGGAGUAGGUGCCAAACGCUCCUCCAGCUAGUAGAAUAGGACAUGAUGAGAAGUUGGAGGACACUCGAAGCCUUUUUGGUAGAUGAGAGACCCCCACACAUAUUUCGAAUAUACUUGGAUGAAACAGAGAAGGACAGCAGAGGAAUAAGGCCAGUUUUCUAUUGUAAGGAAGCCCGGAGGUGUUGAUAGCAGGUGAAUGAUGGCUGUCGUGAGGUGUCAGACGAUGUGUUAGCAGGAUCACUAAACAGAGUCGGGCACUGGAACCAUCAAUAAAAGACAGUGUUGGAGAAUCCGGCAGGAAAACAAGAUUUUAUUUCUCUCUCAAUCCCGGACAAUGCGAACAGGAAUUCACCUGACGUGACCUGCACUUAUACAGCGUAAAAUGUCCAAAUCUUUCUGUGCAACGCAGUUCUCACAAGUACCAUGCGAAGAUGAGACCGAAUGAUAAGCAUCGCUCCCCAGGAUAGCUGGAAAGACAUAAAUGACCCACAGUAUAUGAUAUCAUCACAUAGAUAUUUUAAGGGGAGAAGAGGACACGAAGCUAUAAAUUAAUCUGCGUCUUUGGGAAUUUCUGUCAAACACACUGAAAAAAUAUAAAAUCUCUAGAAAAAAAAGAGAUAAAAGGAGAACAUGAUUACACUUGGAAGGAUUAAAUCGACACGUGGCCAAAAAAAGAUUAAAAUUUUUGCUAAUAAUGUUUAAAAACAAAAAAUUUGCCAACCUAACACGUUACAGAUGUACGGUAUAGAAUUUACUUUAUUAUAUAAAGAGAUGAGGCAGUGACAUAGGAGACGGCUACCAAUCAGUCUCUCUCAGGCGUGAGCUUUUUUAUUACUUAUUUGCGUUAAAGAAAAAAAAAUUGACAUUUAAGUGUAAAAAUAUAAGUAAAAAUAAA